AACGGCCGGUGAAAAGCUCCAAAGCCCGAGGCGGUUUGGCAGGUCAGGGGUCAGGGUGGAGAAGCAAAGGGAGCUGAGGAGUAGGUGGUAGCGGUGAAGCUGGAGAGGUGGGCAAGACCGGCCUCGGUGGUAAGGAGGAAUGCAAUUUUGUUCAGGUAUCCACCCCUCACCUUCACAGUCCCUGCCUGCCAGUGACAACUUUGCAGGUGACCAGCUAACCCCGUCAUCCCUGUUGAGAGGAGUUGGUGCACAUCAGUUUAAGAUAGGGUUGUGUGUGUACAUACUACCUGAAACUACUACAGCUGUUGUUCAGCCAUGAAGGGAGUCAGCCCAGAGCAAAGCCAACUCACAGAGGAUGAGAGGGAAAAGAUGGGAAAACCUGGUCCUGAUGACAUCAUUGAGGCAAAUGGUUGUACUAGGCCUGGAGCGUGCUCAACCUCUGGACAUCCUAUAAUGUGAAAUAAUAAAUUCCCUUGUUGUUCAA